rnacentral:rRNA from 1 species
CGCUGGCGGCGUGCUUAACACAUGCAAGUCGAACGGGAUCCAUCGGGCUUUGCUUGGUGGUGAGAGUGGCGAACGGGUGAGUAAUGCGUGACCGACCUGCCCCAUACACCGGAAUAGCUCCUGGAAACGGGUGGUAAUGCCGGAUGUUCCAGUUGAUCGCAUGGUCUUCUGGGAAAGCUUUCGCGGUAUGGGAUGGGGUCGCGUCCUAUCAGCUUGACGGCGGGGUAACGGCCCACCGUGGCUUCGACGGGUAGCCGGCCUGAGAGGGCGACCGGCCACAUUGGGACUGAGAUACGGCCCAGACUCCUACGGGAGGCAGCAGUGGGGAAUAUUGCACAAUGGGCGCAAGCCUGAUGCAGCGACGCCGCGUGAGGGAUGGAGGCCUUCGGGUUGUAAACCUCUUUUAUCGGGGAGCAAGCGUGAGUGAGUUUACCCGUUGAAUAAGCACCGGCUAACUACGUGCCAGCAGCCGCGG